rnacentral:rRNA from 1 species
AGAACGAACGCUGGCGGCAUGCCUAACACAUGCAAGUCGAACGCUCUUGGGGCUUCGGUUUCGAGGGAGUGGCGCACGGGUGAGUAGCGCGUGGGAACCUGUCCUGUUGUGGGGGAUAACCGAGGGAAACUUCGGCUAAUACCGCAUGCGCCCCGGUGAAAGCCGGGGGAAAGAUUUAUCGCAGCAGGAGGGGCCCGCGUCGGAUUAGCUAGUUGGCGGGGUAACGGCCCACCAAGGCGAUGAUCCGUAGCUGGUCUGAGAGGAUGAUCAGCCACACUGGGACUGAGACACGGCCCAGACUCCUACGGGAGGCAGCAGUGGGGAAUAUUGGACAAUGGGCGCAAGCCUGAUCCAGCAAUGCCGCGUGAGUGAUGAAGGCCUUCGGGUUGUAAAGCUCUUUGGCGGGACGAUGAUGACGGUACCGCAGAAGAGCCCCGGCUAACUUCGCGCCAGCAGCCGC